rnacentral:rRNA from 1 species
GGAAUAUUGGACAAUGGGGGCAACCCUGAUCCAGCAAUGCCGCGUGAGUGAAGAAGGCCUUAGGGUUGUAAAGCCCUUUCGGCGGGGAAGAUAAUGACGGUACCCGCAGAAGCAGCCCCGGCUAACUUCGUGCCAGCAGCCGCGGUAAUACGAAGGGGGCUAGCGUUGCUCGGAAUCACUGGGCGUAAAGCGCACGUAGGCGGACUCUUAAGUCGGGGGUGAAAUCCUGGAGCUCAACUCCAGAACUGCCUUCGAUACUGAGAGCCUUGAGUCCGGGAGAGGUGAGUGGAACUGCGAGUGUAGAGGUGAAAUUCGUAGAUAUUCGCAAGAACACCAGUGGCGAAGGCGGCUCACUGGCCCGGUACUGACGCUGAGGUGCGAAAGCGUGGGGAGCAA